CCUAGAUAAUAAGGAGCUGAAACGGCAUUCGACCAGAUUCUACCAAUCGCUGAGAACACCAAGGCUCUGAGAAGCUAAUGAACUUAAGAUGACAGAAUCAGUAAAUGGCAUAGCUGGAAGUUGAAAAUUGGAUGCCUAACUCCAAAAUAUGGCAGUUAUUUGGAGACAAAUUCCACCAUUAAUAUGCAAUAUCAGAGAGAAGACUAUAGUCAUUGAUGGCACCUGACUACUUCAUGGAGGAGAUGUCAAUUUUCAAAGAGAAAAUAAGACUUGGAAUUGACAGGACACAGCACAAUCAAGUUCUAGUCAUGGUACCAUGAGCAAUGGGAAUGCAUGUCUGAUGCCAGGGACAGACAGCCUCAACUCAGUGGACAUGGCCACCAGGAGGAGUUUCCCGGACUGGGCAUGUGUAUUUUACCCUCAUGGAGCUUCAGAAGGAUGCUAUCAUAAGGCUGAAGUACUGGAGUCCUGGCCACAGGAAUGUGGUGGCCCUUGGCUUUUUGUGUAACUUUGUACCUGGCAUCUACUCUGGGCAUAGCCUGCACUAGGAUCUAAGGGAAUGGUGAGAGAAUGCCAGCAGAGUCUCUUCAAGGCCUUUGGGGGAGGAGCUCCUAGAUAAUUCCUGUCUCCUGCUGGAUAUAUUUCCCUCAUGUAGGCAGUUCUGCUUCUCUUCUCAGCUUACAAAUACCACAAUUCAGCAAAAAGAAAAAAAAGCUGGUAUCAUGCUGAACAACUACCAUGUAAAAUCCAGCUCAAAUGGUCUAUAUCUUUACAAAGGCUCUGAGGACAUACAUAGAAGAGUGUAUUCAUGAAGAACAAGAGAACAUAGAAAGGACAUAACAUGAAUUUCAUGGUAUCAUGAGCACUAACACAAUAGGCCAGAGUGCUCAUCUUGGAACAAUAAAAAGUGAAUCAUUUGUCCUAGAUUUCUGCACUGCCUUUGAUCCACUUCUCCAUGGGCUUCAAUUCUGGAUUUUCACCACAUCCUCCUGGAUUCUAUGGGUGUUCUGGUACAUGGAGAUUAAUCUGACAAAACUGCUGAAUUCAUCUGUGAAUGAAUAAAGAACUGAAAGCUCCUUGCAAGCAAGAAGAGUUCUUUGUCACAGAUCAUUUGUGAAUGGCUACUAUUUGCAGCUAGGCCUAGAGAUGUUAAACAUCACAUCUGCCCAUCUUCUGUUGGCCAGAAAUUAGUGAGAAGACCAUGCCUUACUGCAAUGAUUUUGGAAAAGCAGUCUAACUGCAUUCUCAGAAGGAAGAGGGUCUGGUGAACAUCUAGACCAUCUAUGCCAAAGAGUAGUCUGGAAUCGAAUUGGCAAUAUCUCUGAGAUGUGCCUGUGCUGCUUGUCCAGUCUUCACUGAGAGAAGAAAAGAAGAAGACCCACACAUAAGAGCACUGAGAAAGAAGGGAGUCCACUGUGGCUAGAUUUGAGGGGAAGAGCAUAGUGAGCCCUGUGUGAUGCUGAAAAGAUAACAUUCUUCUGAACAUAUGAGAUACAAGUGCUGAGGACUUCCUGGAAUCAUUGGGGGAGUUUUUGGAGGGAGUGGUUUUCUUAUAGUUGGUAAAUGUGUGUGGUGGGGAAACAUACCUGCUACCAUUAUGAAAACCGAGAUUCAUAAUGCUUAAGGAAACAGAAAUUGUAUAUGGUUUCCUUGUUGGAAUCAUUCUAAAUUGCUGUGUACCUGCCAUAGUAAUUGGAAUAGACAGGGUCAACUUGCUAUGUUAAGUAAGAGCACUAGACUGGAUGUCAGAAACAGCAUUCCAAUGCUGGGACUCAUUCCCUGCUGUGUGACUUUGAGCAAGUUUUAGUUUCCUUUGUGAUCUACCACCUACGGUUCAGCUAUGAUUAAACUAAAUAAUAAAUGGGAAAGUGCUAUCCAAAUGGAAGGUGGACUGAUUAUAAUUGAAUUUGCUCUUGAUUGAAGAACCUCUAUGAUUAGUGAAUAGUUCUCUAGAGCAGUUGUUCUAGGGGUUGUACCGAAAUGCCUUUGGGACUUUAAAAAAUAUAAAGGAUGCAUUGGCCCUGACCCUGGAUAUUCUAGUGUUGGGGAGAAAAGAUAUCUACAUAUAGGUUUAAAAUUCUUAGGCAGCCUGGGUGGCUCAGCAGUUUAGUGCUGCCUUCAGCCCAGGGCCUGAUCCUGGAGACCAGGAUCGAGUCCCACAUCAGGCUCCCU